AAAAAAUAUAGCAUUACUAUGUUAAUGUUUUUCCUUAACUCAGAGUCUAAUUUUCAGUGCUUUGCUAUCGAUCAGUGGCUCAUUGUUGUGUAGGAUAUGUGUUAAAUGGGCUAUAAUUAUAUGGAUACCAGCAGCCAUCACUGAGCCAACAGGUUGCACUGAAUGUCAACUUGUGAUCUGCCGACUUCAGAGAGGUGAUGAUUCAGACCUCGCAAUAUCUGCAUGGAGACAUUAGAAGUGCUGCAUCAGGGGGAAUUCUCGUUCAAUCAGCUAUGAUGGAAGAAAAGACGAGCAAGUCCUGUCUGGAAACUGGUUUGUUGAUGGGUCAGAAUGGUUGAUGUAGCAAGUUGCUUUCUUAAAACAUUUUUCAACCUGUGACUGUUUGCAGUAAGUUUCAAACCAGAUUGUACUGGCCAAGCAGAAUAUGUGUUCAAACUCUGCUGAGAACCUGCAGCCAAUAAGAGAGAUAAAGGCAUUCUGUUCCUCACACUCUGCAAUAAUAGGGAAGGCAUUAAUAAUGCUGAGCUGAGAAACAAGCCCUCUGCUGAGAUAGCUUAGUGCAACAAUAGCAAGAGCCUGUUUAUGAGCUCAGUGUACUCUUCAUUUACUAGGUACACUCUGUACAAAUUAUGUAAACUUGCUCAAGCCCCUGGAAUUACAAAAUUCACUAGGUAAUUAAACAGAUCUUGACAGCACAGUGGUGACCACUUCACCUCACAUCCGGUGUCAGAGAGGGAAGAUAAUAUUGUGAUGUAGACAUAAGCUUGUGCUAGAGGACAGCUGGUGUUCACUCUGAGCGCUGUGCAGUUGAUCCUGCUCGAGUUCUCAUGGGAAUCAUAGUUCUGAUUGAACAACCUGUCUUCCUUAAUAAUAUAAGUCUGAAAUUUGGUGGGGAUAGGCAGGACUGUCUUUUGGUAUAGAUGAAUAUUUAGCCCAAUCUGUGUUAAAUUUUGAAAGUACCUGUAUGUUUCUGUAAUAUAAAUAAUUCUGAGUCACAUAAAAUACAAGGCAAUGGAUGACAGCUAGUACAAAGACAGCAUCAUCUCUAAAAUAAAGUGAGUCCCAGGAUGCCUACAAAGUUUCUUCUAGGAUGUUUAGAUUUUUGUUCAUUUAUUUAAUUAUUUAAUUAUUGACAUACAAAUCAUUUGUAAGAUCUGGAAGAUAUAUUUCCAGUGUAUGAUAUUGCAGACACUUCAGCUGUCCAUGGAAUAGGGCAACUUCCUUUUUGUACGUCAAAUGGGACAGCAAAAGUACAAGUAUUUGCAGUAAAAUGUCCAUAGCAAGGAACUACACUAAAAACCAUUUCAUGUGGUGACCACAGACUUGCAGGCAAAGCAAAUGUCCAAAUAAACCUAAAAGAAAGCAAUCAAUCAAACAAGCUCCAUGAAGCGUUUUUAUGAAGUUGUGAAAAUUCUGGAAGAAACUGAAAUUCUUUUGGUGAGCAGCAGUCUGGGGCAUCCUGUCUUUCAGAAAACUUUGCUAUGUUGUUGGCCUCCCCAGAUAUUUCAGGCUCACAUGAAAAAGAUUGUGUCAUUCUGCUUAGCUUUAGUCUUGGGCUGUUUUGUUCAGUGCCUGUGCUCCAACAUUAACCACAGCAAUGCGAAGUAUGAACUAGUCCAGCACUGCAGCAUAUCGUGUGUGUUCUAACAAUGCUAGUUAAUAUUUGCAUGUAUCAGGGUUUUUAAAAUUGUGUUCUGUAUAAAGAAGUAUCUGAAAAACUUACUGAUGUUAAAAUUAUCUCAUGGAAGCCUGUAAUAAAAUUAAAAAUACGUAUGUUAUCUACAAAGUCCAAGCUUUUGAUAGAUGUUUGCAAUUUUUAAAGGAUUGUAUUGGUUGUAUUUGGUUUUAUUUUGGUUGUAUUUUUAUUUUCUCUCCCUCACUCAGAGAUGUACAUAGGUGGACCCAUGGCACCAAGUAUGUCUGUCUGGAUAUGAAAAAAGAUAUGAAAAGCUUUUAUAAAUGUUUUAAGAACUGACAUAUUUCCAAAAUUGUUUUCUGUAAAAUAUACAGCCUAUAUAGAACAAGUGAUGGGGAAAAAAAAGAAAGCUUUACUAACAGAGCCUUAACAUGUCUCUCUAGUGUCAUUUGUUUCUAUAUAUUUUUAAUGAAAAGCAGGGAAUAUGAACUGGAUUUUAUUGCCUUUUUGAAAGAGCAACAUAUGGAAUUUUGUUCAGAUUCAUGCAGCCUGAAAUGCAUGAUCUAAGUCUCUCCUAGGUUUCCUUUCUAAAGAUCCUUCCAAAAAGGCUCAGUGAUGAAAAGCAUCAUUCAAAAGUGUUUUCGUAAAAGGAAUAUUCUAAAGAGGUUGGAGUCUUUGUGCAUGUUGAGAUAUCCUGUUGUUACUAUCAUAGCAUUUUUAUGUGAAAUAAUGAUAAGAAAAAUGCUCUUCCUCUGUCAGCAUUUUUUGCUCUUUACUGUAAGAACAAAUUGCUCUUCUCCUAUCUGCACUGAGCUUGCACCAGCUGCAUCAGAAAUUCAGCACAGGAAGGGAAAAAAGUCGUUCACCUUGUGGAUCCAACUGCAGAAAGUACUCCUCAUGCCUUUGACUAGAGACGAUCGAUAUAAUGAAGGGCUACUUUCAGGUUAUGUAACGUUGGAUGAUGGGGUCACAAGUUAGGAGCUAUUCCAAAAAUAAAAAGGUUUAGAAAGGAAGAAAAGAAUGAGAUGUACUUUCUUAGUCUUAAUUUUGGCAGACAAAAAGUACUUCUUGACUUCUAUGUUCAGCUUGCUACAAUUUUCUAAAGCAUCUAGGUUUGAUGGUUUAGCUUAAAGCUCGAUGUUUCAUAAAAGCUAGUUUUCUAGUGAAGACCUUUUUGACAAUGAAUGUUUUGCAAAUUGUUUACCUUACAGAGCUACCUGUGUAGACUUGCAGCUUCUUUGAUGGUUGAAGUAUUUCCAAAAUAAUUUUUUCUCAGCUGGAAGUAGAAACAGCUGCUGGAGAAAAUGGAAAAUAGCAGCCUAAAGAAAAAAGUAAAAAAGAAAUGCAUGUGACCUUCAAGAUGUACUGUACAAAAGAAGAGAGUACGUGCAGGGUACUAUAAAUGACCUAAGGCUCUUAGGAAUCUUGCUAAUAUUCCCACUUCUGAAAGCCCUUUCUUCUUUAGGAAUUUGAGAAGGGAAAGAUGGAGAACGAGAAAGAAAAAAAAAAGAAAAUAUUAAAUUGUGUAAUAGGCUUUGUCAUGGAGAACGUCACUGUUUUAUAAUGAAAAAGGAAAAGGAAUUUCCUGGAUAAAGGAUAGGCCAGUUGAAAUAGAUUGUGGCCACAGAACUUCAGGUUGGAAAUUUACUAACUCUGUCUGCAUUUCCCAACAUCCUUGCCAGCUCAAUGACCAAGGCACAAUAUGACAUCUGCAAGGGACUGCCUUUCCUCAUAGUACCUCAUGGAAAGUGUGGGACAAUUUGGCAGUCCGGACUGUGGAAGGGAAUGGAUCCAUGAACCAUUCACAGUGGCCUUGAGAAGCUGUAAGAACCAUCACAAGUUAGGAUAUAUUGUUCAGGCUUGAGCCAAGAUAACCACUUUAUGGGAACAGUUGUGUUUUUGUCAUUCACAGUCACAUCUCAGGUUCUCCUUUUGAUUACAUAGAUGUGUCUGUGCUUUUAUUGGGGUUCAGGUGUCCUGGUCCAUUAUUCUUUCAGUUUCCUGGAAGCCAUUCACAUGAAUCCUCAUUCAGCAGCUCUCAUCUGCACUGGGUAUUUGUCCUUACACCAGUACUCAGGAAGAAAAGAAAAAGCACAGCGUGGCAAUGAUUUACAAAGUCUGACAAAACACUAAAGCAAUAUUUCACACAUCACUCAGAUCAUGAAAGAGAGCUUAAUUUCUGGAGGGAACAGUAGCCAUCUAACUAAUUGAUUUAAGCAGAAAACUCACUGUCAAGGUCAGUCUAAAAACACAGUGAGGCAAGAUAUAUUUUAUUACAUAAAACCUCUCAGUGUUUUAAUUUGAUUAUGUUAUUAGUUCCAUGUAAGUGUAUUAACUAAGAAGGCAUGAUUAACUGAAUAAAUUUUAGAAGUGAUGAGGAGGCUGGUGUCGACAGUAGCAGUUCAACUAUUAGAAUCCAGACACUCUGUUUUUACCUAUGAAGGAAAAAAAAAAUAUAUAUAUAUAUAUAUUCUAAGGUGGAACUUCUCAGAAGACACCUGAAAAAUCUAUCAUGGGAAAGGAACACUUCUGGGAUUUCUUCUUUGUCUAGACAGGGAGAAGCCUCUGAUCAAACAACAGAAAAAAAAAAAAAAAAAAAAAAAAAAAGGACAGCUAGCAGUUUUUUGAAGGUCAAAUUAACCUUGGAAAAUAAAUCUGGGGAAGGUUGCUCUAAAACAAAUUCCAACAGCAGAGAGCAGCACUGCCAUGAGGUCCUAUCUGAAAAAUCUUCGGACACUGACAACUCAUGUUCCCAUUAAAAACAAACAAACAAAAAAGCACUAUAUGUAUUUUUAUAGUUUAAAUAUAAUCAAAAUUGUCUCUGCUUCAAGUUUACCUGAGGACUUAAAGGGUGAGACUGAAUUCCAUUGUGUCACCAUGAUAAUCUGUCGAUCACUUUAAAAACAAAUGCUUCUUCAACAAAUAAAGAAUGCUGCUAUGAAAUUCAGUAUUUUUUCUUUCUUUCCCCCCCCUGCUGCCCUUCUACUUUGGGGCAUUCAGCUGCUCCUUAUAAAUCUCUUAGAAUUUCAGCCAACCUUCUGAUUUUAAAUGUUCUCUUUGUGGAAGGAAAAAGCUGAGAACAUUAAGAAGUAGAUUAUAUCUGUCUGGGCAACAAAACCCAAGCACACUAUUUUGGAGAAUGUAAAAAAAUAAUCCAGUGAUUUAGAAAGAUGAAAUCAAUGUACCUAUGAAGGAAUUGCAUGUACAUAUAUAAUUUGAUCUAUGUUUGUGUGGAUUUAAAAUAAAAUCAC
ensembl:lncRNA